UGGGGAAUAUGGCGCAAGCCUGAUGCAGCCAUGCCGCGUGUGUGAAGAAGGCCUUCGGGUUGUAAAGCACUUUCAGUCGUGAGGAAGGUAGUGUAGUUAAUAGCUGCAUUAUUUGACGUUAGCGACAGAAGAAGCACCGGCUAACUCCGUGCCAGCAGCCGCGGUAAUACGGAGGGUGCGAGCGUUAAUCGGAAUUACUGGGCGUAAAGCGCAUGCAGGUGGUUUGUUAAGUCAGAUGUGAAAGCCCGGGGCUCAACCUCGGAAUAGCAUUUGAAACUGGCAGACUAGAGUACUGUAGAGGGGGGUAGAAUUUCAGGUGUAGCGGUGAAAUGCGUAGAGAUCUGAAGGAAUACCGGUGGCGAAGGCGGCCCCCUGGACAGAUACUGACACUCAGAUGCGAAAGCGUGGGGAGCAAACAGGAUUAGAUAC
rnacentral:rRNA from 1 species